AUAAAAAAUAUUUGAAAUUAAAAAAACUGGGUAAGAUCAAGCAGUUGGGGCUAGAGAGAUUGCUAAGCCAUAAAGAGUGCUUACUAUUCUUAUAGAGGACUCAAGUUCAGUUCCAAGCACAUACCAGUUGCUUCAAACCACCUGUUUGUAACUCCAGCUCCAAAGAAGCCAAUUCCUUCUUCUGGGCUCUAUUGGCACUGUAGUGGUUAGAAAGAAAAUGGCCCCCAUACGGAGUGGCACUAUUAGGAAGUGCAGUCUUGUUGGAGGGUUUGGCUCUGAGGUCUCAUAUAUGCUCAAGUAUACUUGGUGUGGCACACAAUUCACUUCCUGUUGCCUGCAGAUCAGGAGGUAGAACUCUCAGCUCCUUCUCCCACACAUGUCUGCCUGUGUGCUGUCAUGCUUUCAGCCAUGAUGAUACUGGACUAAAUCUCUGAAACUGUAAGCCACCCCCAAUUACAUGUUUUCUUUUCUAAGAGUUGCUGUGGUCAUGGUGUCUCUUCACAGCAAUAAAGCCCUAAGACAGGCACCCAUACACAAAUACACAUAAAAAAGUAUUCAAGGCCAAGCAGUCUGGAGUUAUUGCUUGAAAACGAUAGGGCUGGAGAGGUGCCUCAGCAGGUAAGAGCACUGGUACUGGAUGCUCUUACACUGGAUCUUGGUGCCCAGCACUCGUGUACAUUUGUAACUCCAGUUCUAGAGGGAAUGAUGCCCUUUUCUGGCUUCUCUAAGUACUGCAUGUAUCUGAUGCACAGACAUACAUGCAGAAAAAACACCCAUUCACAUAAAGUAUAAAACAUUGUAAAAAGAAUACAAUUAAGGCAUGUAAAAUUACUGGUGUGUGAUGUUUUAUUCUUUACUCCAGGCUUUUUGGGGAGGCCCACCAACCUGCUCCCAAAUAAAUCACACACGGAGGCAUAUUCUUAGUUAUGAAUGCCCGGCCUUAGGUUGGCUUGUUUCUCGCCAGCUUUGCUUAAAUUAUCCCAUCUAUCUUUGGCCCUGGGGCUUUUUUCUUUUUCUAUUCCUGCAUAUCUUUUCUUGCCUUCUUACUCAGUAUCUGGCUAUAUAUAGCUGGAUGUCUGGGUGGCUGGGUGGCUGGGUGGCUGGGUGGCUGGCCCCUGAAGUCCUCCUCCUUCCUCUCUCUUUCCCCAAUUCUCAGAUCCUUUCUCCUGGAUUUCUCCUCAUAUAUAUUCUCUCUGCCUGCUAUCCCCACCUAUUCCUCUCUCCUGCCUAGCUAUUGGCUGUUCAUCUCUUUAUUAGACCAAUCAGGUGUUUUAGACAAGCAUAGUAACACAGCUUCACAGAGUUAAACAAAUGCAACAUAAACAAAAGUAACACACCUUAACAUAAUAUUCCCCAACAUACUGGCAUAAUGUGUACUGAACAGAAUCUCUGCAUGAGCAUCUAAUACUUCAUGAAUGCUAUUACAAUGACCUUUGUAAUGGAUAUUAAGAUAUUUAUAGUUCUUCAAAAAUGAAUAGAAGAAUAUGGAAACAUAUUUUCCCCUAUUCUUUUUCUGAGUGGAUCUCAUAGAGUUCAAAAUUCUAGUUAACAUCCUGGGGAUAUAAUUCAGUGGUAGAGUGCUUGCCUAGCAUUUGCCAGGCCCUGGCUUUAAUUCCAACUUUUGUAUCAUCUAUUGAUUUAUUCCUAGGUAGGAGGACACCUGCCUCCCAUGUGAUGGGAUUACAAGCAUGUACCACCAUAGUCAACUGCUAGUUUCCUUUUAAUGUCAAUAUUCUACCUUCCCCACUAGACUGAGUCAUUCUAGGAAGAGGAUCUGACUUACCUUCACAGUUCCUGCUGUGUACACAUGCUGCAGGUACCCACUGUGUAUGGACUGGAAGGAUGGAAUCACUUGACAAGAGAAUAUCAUCAUCUGGCCCGAACCUCACUGCUGAGUACCACCAGCUUUACAAGGCAUAAGCAGGAGAGGAGGAGGCUGAAUUGGCAUUAGAGCUGGCCCAGCUGGGAGGAACGUGUCCUCAGUGCUGCAUGAGAUGUCUCUAAUCUGCUGAGCACCACAGGGGAGGUGUCCAGAAUUGGUCUGCAUCUUCCCUUGGCAUAAAUGAAGUUUUACCUCCUGCUACAAUGAAAAAGCCUGUUUAUGCUGCCGGGAAAUCUCUUGUAGUUCUGCCCAUGAAGACAUAUUUUCCCUACAAGGAAUUAACUGUCAAUUGCCUUCAUGUCUUUCUCGGAUAAUCAUGAACCUACUUCCCGAGGGCUGGAGAGAUGGCUAAGCAAUUAAGAGAACUUACUGCUCUUGCCAAGAAGGCUCCCAACAUCUUCACGGUAUCUCAUAGCUGCCUAUAACUCUAGCUCCAAGUGAUCUGACACCUUCUCCUGGCCUUCAAGGGCACCUGCACACACAUGGAAUACAUACAGACACACAUAUAAAAAUAAUAAACCAUAUUAAUUACUUUUCUAUUGCUUUGAUAAAACAGCAUGACCAAGACAGCUUACAGAAGCAAAGGUUACUUGGAGCUUAUGGUUCUGGAAGGAUGAAAGUCCAUCACCAUCAUGGCAGGGAGGAGGCAUGGCGGCAAACACCAAGUAUGGCAGCGGGAGCAGCUGCAAGCUCACAUAUCAAACCACAAGUAGGAAAGAGAAGAACAUGCUGGGAAUGGUGGGACUCUGAACUGUCAAACCCACCCCCAGUGACAUACUUCCUUCAGCAAGGACACGCCUCCUAAUCAUACCCAAACAGUGACACCAAACUGGGGGCCAAGUAUUCAAAUGCCCGAGAAUAAAAACUCCUACUUCCAA